rnacentral:rRNA from 1 species
CCUACGGGGGGCUGCAGUGGGGAAUAUUGGACAAUGGGCGAAAGCCUGAUCCAGCCAUGCCGCGUGUGUGAAGAAGGCCUUCGGGUUGUAAAGCACUUUCAGUGGGGAAGAAAGCCUUGGGGCGAAUACCCUCGAGGAAGGACAUCACCCACAGAAGAAGCACCGGCUAACUCCGUGCCAGCAGCCGCGGUAAUACGGAGGGUGCGAGCGUUAAUCGGAAUUACUGGGCGUAAAGCGCGCGUAGGCGGUCUGAUAAGCCGGUUGUGAAAGCCCCGGGCUCAACCUGGGAACGGCAUCCGGAACUGUCAGGCUAGAGUGCAGGAGAGGAAGGUAGAAUUCCCGGUGUAGCGGUGAAAUGCGUAGAGAUCGGGAGGAAUACCAGUGGCGAAGGCGGCCUUCUGGACUGACACUGACGCUGAGGUACGAAAGCGUGGGUAGCAAACAGGAUUAGAUACCCCGGUAGUC